rnacentral:rRNA from 1 species
UACGUAGGGGCCUAGCGUUGUCCGGAAUUAUUGGGCGUAAAGAGCUCGUAGGCGGUUCGGCAAGUCGGAUGUGAAAUCUCCACGCUUAACGUGGAGGGGCCAUUCGAAACUGCUGUGACUCGAGUCCGGUAGGGGAGUGUGGAAUUCCCGGUGUAGCGGUGAAAUGCGCAGAUAUCAGGAGGAACACCGAUGGCGAAGGCAGGUCUCUGGGCCACUACUGACGCUGAGAAGCGAAAGCAUGGGGAGCGAACAGG